GCCAGUGUGGUGGAGUGGUUAGAGCAUUGGACUAAGAUUCCAGAGACUGGGGUUUGACUCCAUGGAAACCCUUUGGCG